UAUAGAAUGGAGAAAUCACCCCCCAGUCUGCCUCACUACUGUAAGCAGACAGCUCCACCCUCUGUUUCAUUUACCACCAAGCCUACAUAACUGGGUGAUAAAAAUUCCAGAGGGAGAGGGGGCCUUACUCUUUCUUUGUCCCGAGAGUUCCCACCAAAUGACCAGGUCACCUCACCUGGUGGUAUUGACAUCUUUUAAAAGCAUCAGUCUGCAUCCAAUGGGCCUGCUUCUGGUUGGAACUUAGUGAUGAGGUCACAAAAAGUUAUAAAAAGGGAUCACCCCAUCUUGGAAGGAGCAGACAUCUUGGAAAACACAGGACCAAGCUGAGGCCUCCAGAAUGAGCUCAAUUAGGCUCUGAAUGAACAUGUUAUUUACUCCUUGGAUGUACAAAUAGGAGAGAACACUGAUGUGUAAGAAAAAUCACUACCAAAACAUUUGCUCCAAAUGGUGAUGGAAUGGUCUAAUGCGACUCCUUGGUAAACUGGGGUGUAUUCAAGGAGCAGCAUGUGGUUGCCUACUCUGAUUUUCAGCAUGCUCUUGAUUCAAUGACUGUCCAGGUGGAAGACGGAUGAUACUGUUUUAUUAAUGCUCCCCAGUGACCCCAUGCCUCUCAAACACACCGCCCCAGCCCCUGAACCAUUGGCCUGGAAUGAAGCUGAAGCACCAGGAUUGUUACCCCCUAUUGUUGUUGGGGGCUUAUCAGUCUGUGUUACAUUAAUUACAUUACAUAAAUCUGAUUAAUUGACAACUGGCCAACCCAUCCCUCAAGGUUACAUUGUUUUCCUGAGAGAUGCCAGCGUGGUAAUGCGGAACCGCUUUAUGUAAAACCGCACCCAAACAGACCUCUGAACACAUGGAAAGCUCUUUUUGAGCCCCACAGCUGAGGUAUUACAACAGUUGCGACUGUGCGUUUUCACUGGUGCAUCUCCAGGAGCCAUUUGACAGAACACUUACAUAUGAGCACUGCUGCAGGUAACCUCCCCCACCCUCCACCCCAAUCGUUCCUUCCCUCUCAUCCUGGAGAACCAGAGAAGGCUUAUCCCUCUGGGCCUGGAUGCAGCCCUCCCAGCUCCCACAGCAGGGAAAUGAAACCCAGGUGUCUGGGUUUUCCCAGCUGGGAAGUAGAACACAGAGGAAUUUAAUGAUGUGGUCAGUGCCAGAUUAUGAGCAGCUCAUCAUAGGUCCCUCAGUGUCUCCCUUGUCUGUAGACUCCACAUUUGAGUGCAGGAGGCCCGGUCAUGGAUCCCAAGAUACUGGAUCCAGGAUGGUCAGCUAGAGAUAUAUGCAUAGAUGGUACCAAUGAAAUGAGAACCAAAUGGGAUCCUGGAUGUGGAGAGUAGGAACGGGCAGGGUGGUGAUUGCUUGCACCCAUGCCACUGCAAUACUUGUGUGAGCCAUCCAGACACAGGAACACUGCAAAAUCCAAAAACAAGGUCUACAGAUGGCUACCCACUGUGUGAGGAGCAUGUAUGCCUCUAUAAAGCAGAGAGAGUCAUGGGCCCCAAGAAAAGGAGUUAAUGCACAGAGUCAAAGAUCGCUUGGGAUCCGGCUACAACAUCCCUGAGUGGCUUCAGCACCACUUUCCAUGGAAACAUCAUGGUCCCCCUGGGCGGAAGUGGCGGGACAGGCUGCCACCCACACUCAGGCAUGGACAGCGCUGCUCCAGAAACUGUUCCCUAUGGCAACAGGAACAGGGGUACCACAGGGGCCAGCCUUAGAUUGCAGCCAAGGGAGAGUGCUCCACACUGUGCAUUGAUUAGGAAAUUAUGGGCUGCCAGGGGGUCCUGAAACAGGAAAUAUGCCUUGUAGGAGCUACUGAUCCAAAAAGCUAGGAAGAUGUAUUACAGGGCUGGGACCAGGGAGCAGCAGUGUGGGAGGGGAGGAAGGCCAGGCUGCCUGACACCCGAUGCCAGAGCUGGCAAUGAUUCAGCUUACUUUCCAGGGCUAAGUUGCUACCCAUGGCUGCUGGCAGUUGCCAGCAUAGGCGUGGGGCCCCAAAGAGGUACUAGGCCAGUCGUGGAAGGGUGAAGAAGUGCUCAGAGAAGCUGGGAAGUGAGGGGAAGGCCCACAACACUGCCAGGCCAGGUACAGCCUAUGAGAGGAUAGGCAGCCCCCGGGCUUGAGUCCAAGUUCCAGAGCAGACAACAUUCCACAGGUUUUUCUUUAUUAUGUGCACAAAACGUUUGGCACCUGCAACAUUAAUUAAAAUUGAUGGGCGGCAAUUUUACAUGCAGCAUUCCCCCUGCUGCCCCAAGGUUUCGUGUUUGUUCAGCCACUGUAGCUUCCCACCCUCCUUCCCCUACUCAAUGUCAUAACUGCCUAGUACAUCCAGAGUCUUUCCCCACUCUCACAAUGUUAACUGAGAAAAAGAUUCUGAGUUCUAGAGCAGGCAAUGUUCAACAGUUUUUGUUUAAUAAACACAUUAAAAGUUUGGCAGCUUCAACAUUUGAUUAAAAUGAGGUAAGUCUCUUCCACAGGCCACAU